rnacentral:rRNA from 1 species
ACGCGAAGAACCUUACCUACUCUUGACAUCCAGAGAAUUUAGCAGAGAUGCUUUAGUGCCUUCGGGAACUCUGAGACAGGUGCUGCAUGGCUGUCGUCAGCUCGUGUUGUGAAAUGUUGGGUUAAGUCCCGCAACGAGCGCAACCCUUAUCCUUUGUUGCCAGCGAUUCGGUCGGGAACUCAAAGGAGACUGCCGGUGAUAAACCGGAGGAAGGUGGGGAUGACGUCAAGUCAUCAUGGCCCUUACGAGUAGGGCUACACACGUGCUACAAUGGCGUAUACAAAGAGAAGCGACCUCGCGAGAGCAAGCGGAACUCAUAAAGUUCGUCGUAGUCCGGAUUGGAG